rnacentral:rRNA from 1 species
UACGUAGGGCGCAAGCGUUGUCCGGAAUUAUUGGGCGUAAAGAGCUCGUAGGCGGCUUGUCACGUCGGGUGUGAAAGCCCGGGGCUUAACCCCGGGUCUGCAGUGGAUACGGGCAGACUAGAGGUAGGUAGGGGAGAAUGGAGUUCCCGGUGUAGCGGUGAAAUGCGCAGAUAUCGGGAGGAACACCGGUGGCGAAGGCGGUUCUCUGGGCCUUACCUGACGCUGAGGAGCGAAAGCGUGGGGAGCGAACAGG